GGCUCAGCAGAGGAUGCAAGAUCACCUUUCUGAACUAAGCUGCAUGGAGUAUGAACUUACUACUGAAAGGAAGGCUGAACACAAAAUUGAGGUGACUUCAACAAAUUCAGCAAAACAUAUAGGACUAAGGAUGAAGAUAGCCUUCUUCGUCCUUGACAAGGGAACUUCAAUCCAGGAUUACUCAUUUCAGUUUCCUCAUUGGACAUCUGAGGAAAAUGAGUCCCAGAGAGAUAAAGUGCCAUGCCCAAGGUCACACAGCUGGUGAAGGAGCAGAAUAAAAUUUAUAAUUGAAUUGAGGGUUUUUACACAAAAAUAUAGUUAAAUGUAACUAAAGAUAAAGUUUUUAAACGUCACCACUGUGACUUACCUACACAUACCUGCUUAGAAUCUACCUAAGAGUGAAAAAGCUGGAUCAAGGACUCCAUGGAAUGCAGAAGUUCAGUUCUAGUAGACACUGCCAGCUUUCCAGAUGGUUGUGCCAGCUUACACCUCCACUGUAGUUCUCUAAAACCUCCGCAACCCUUCACAUAGUCUCUUAUGUUCCAGCCACUCUGUAAACAUAUCAGUAUCUCAUUGUGGUUUUAAUUUGCAUUUCCUUGAUUACUAAUGUAA